rnacentral:lncRNA from 1 species
GGGGGUCAAUCGACUAUUUUGGUCAUAGUGACUUAUUUUUAGUUCUUACUUUGCUGUACAUUAUUGCUGUUUACAGUUUAUCUCUAUCUAUUAUAAUAUUCAAGAUAACAAAAAAAACAGCAAAAUUUCCUCAAAAUUACCAAUUCAGGGGCAGCAACCUAACAACCGAUUAUCCGAUUCAUCUGAAAAUUUCAGGGCAGAUAGAUCGUGACCUGAUCAACAAUUUUACUUCCUGUCAGAUUUGCUCUUAAUGCUUUGGUUUUUGAGUUAUAAGCCAAAAACUGCAUUUUACCCC